AGCAGCCGCGGUAAUUCCAGCUCCAAUAGCGUAUAUUAAAGUUGUUGCAGUUAAAAAGCUCGUAGUUGAAUUUCGGGACCAAUUUGUUGGUCGUGCCUCGGUACGUACUGGUAUUAUUGGUUUCUCCCUUCUGAAGAACCUCGAUGUCAUUAAUUUGGUGUCGUGGGGAAUCAGGACUGUUACUUUGAAAAAAUUAGAGUGUUUAAAGCAGGCAUACGCUUGAAUACAUUGGCAUGGAAUAAUGAAAUAGGACGUUUGAUUCUAUUUUGUUGGUUUCUAGGAUCGACGUAAUGAUUAAUAGGGAUAGUUGGGGGCAUUAGUAUUCAAUUGUCAGAGGUGAAAUUCUUGGAUUUAUUGAAGACUAACUACUGCGAAAGCAUUUGCCAAGGAUGUUUUCAUUAAUCAAGAACGAAAGUUAGGGGAUCGAAGACGAUCAGAUACCGUCGUAGUCUUAACCAUAAACUAUGCCGACUAGGGAUCGGAUGAUGUAAUUUUUAAUGACUCAUUCGGCGCCUUACGG
rnacentral:rRNA from 1 species